CAGAAACUGACGACUUCGGUCUGCGCCGGAAGUGCAUGAGCUGCCGAUGUGGUGCUUAGUGAUUGCGGUUUCGGUCGCUCACCCGUGUUUCCCGGGCUGGGUAUUUGCCUCGCACCAUGGCGCCCAAGGGCAAAGUGGGCACGAGAGGGAAGAAGCAGAUAUUUGAAGAGAACAGAGAGACCCUGAAGUUCUACCUGCGGAUCAUACUGGGGGCCAAUGCCAUUUACUGCCUUGUGACAUUGGUCUUCUUUUACUCAUCUGCCUCAUUUUGGGCCUGGGUAAGUAUCUCCAUCCUGGGAGGUGGAUGAGUGCAUAGGGUCAGUGGCUGGCCUUUGACACCCUCAUUCUUGCUCUGCAGUUGGCCCUGGGCUUUAGUCUGGCAGUGUAUGGGGCCAGCUACCACUCUAUGAGCUCGAUGGCACGAGCAGCGUUCUCUGAGGAUGGGGCCCUGAUGGAUGGUGGCAUGGACCUCAACAUGGAGCAGGGCAUGGCAGAGUGAGUGUCCCCCACCGCCAGCCCAGGUGAGCGGCCCCAGGGCUGGGGCCCAGAUAGCCCAAGAAGCACAGCUACUUUCAACUUGAAAAGGGUGGAAGGGAGUUGAACUGGGGCCCAUAUGCUGUCUUUCCAGCUUUAUUUCUAUCCACAGGCACCUUAAGGAUGUGAUCCUACUGACAGCCAUCGUGCAGGUGCUCAGCUGCUUCUCUCUCUAUGUCUGGUCCUUCUGGCUUCUGGCUCCAGGCCGGGCCCUUUACCUCCUGUGGGUGAAUGUGCUGGGCCCCUGGUUCACUGCAGACAGUGGCACCCCAGCACCAGAGCACAAUGAGAAACGGCAGCGCCGACAGGAGCGGCGGCAGAUGAAGCGGCUAUAGCCAUUGACAUUGUAGCCACAGGCCGCUGGCCCUGGGUGGCUCUGUCAGGGUGCACAGCCCCCCAUGCCUGGAGCAAUGAGGGUCUAGUCCAGGGGCCAAAAGCAGUCUGAGG
rnacentral:sRNA from 1 species